GUUAAUCGGUGCCCCUUUAUUUUUAUACAUUUCUAAAACAUGCAUUCUUUCCCAAUUUAAUAACCACGCACUCUCUCAGUCAUUCUCCUCUCUCUCUCCUCUCGUUCCCCUUUUCUCUGUCCUUUCUCUCCUCUAUCACUGCACUCCACUGCCACUCCUUAGCUUCCUUUCCACCACUCCUUAGCUUCCACCACCACCCCUUUCACCGCCAGUCCACUUUAUCUCUCCAUUUCUUCUCUCUGUCAGCUCUCGUUCUCCUUCUCCUUCGAAAAUCGGCAUUAAUUUGAACCAAAUCCAACCAUCAUCGCUGCCGCCUAUUUCUUAAAUCACCAAUAAUGGAGGUUACGGUUUGUGGGUGCGUUUAUUUCUAAUCAAUUGGAUGUUCGUGCUUCUUCAACAACAAAUACAAAUCAAUUUCGAACAAAAAAUCAAAAAUUUGAGUUGAAUUUGGGAUGUCCAUGGAGCUAAUUUUGUCAAAGUUGACUAGGAGGCUCUUCGAUCUCAUCCGUGUUUCCCUUUUUCUCUUUACUCUCGAUUUAAUUGUUUAAUUUCUUGAUUUGCUGUUUUUUUUCAUUGUUUAUUGAUUGGAUGAAAUUGUUGUUUUUUUGGGGGGUUUUAACUUAAAUUUUAAUUUGGUUAGGGUUAAUGUUAUGGAAGAUUUGAAAUUGUUGUGUUGUGGAAAAUUUCUGAUUUGGAUAUUGAAAUUUGACUGUGGUGGAUAUUGGAUUAUGAGCCAGCAAUUUCAGUCUUGUGAUUUGCCUAAUUCUCGUAUUCAACCUGAUCGUCAUUGGUUUGGUACGUUUUUUCUUACGAAAUUGAUGUUAUUUUAUAUGCAAAUUUGAUAUAAUUUCAAUAAUUAUUGAAUUAUUAAGUUUGGGGAUUUGGAAAAAUUGAACCGAAGUAUUUGAUUGAACGUGAAAUUUGUCAAAUUGCAUAGUUGAUGAUUAAAUUGGUUGAUAUAGUAGUUUUGGGGUUUAAAAUCAGAUUACACAACUCAGUUUUAUUGCGAUUGAUCUAGGGUUUUGUUAAUUUGUUUCAAUAAUUGCGAUUGAUCUAGGAUUUUGUUAAUUUAAGCUUUUGGAAUUGUGAAUAUAAAGAAUAUUUGAAUUAUGGGUACAUGAAGUAUUUGACUUGUGAGUAUACAUAGUACUUGAUACUAGAAUCUUGAAUUUCAGUAGUUUGAUUUGUUGAUGUAUUGUGAAUAUUGUAUUGGUUGUCAUUUAAUUUGAUUUUUUAGGUAUAUAUUUUUUUGGGUAUAUUUUGAUUGAUUUCUUGAUUGUGGUAUGGGUAUAUUUUGAUCAGUUUUGGGUUUCUUUUGAUUGAAAAUGCAAAUUAAAUCUCAUUUGAUAGUGGAUAAUGGUGGAUUAUUUCAUUAUAUUUUCUUUCUAGUUUGUCUUCUUAUAUUGCCUUAUUGUACCAUAAUUUUUGAGUUCCUUCACAAGAAUAGCUUGAUUUUCUAAGUUGUGUUUUUGCGUUUAGAGAAGGACUUGAAGCUAGAACCUGUUGGCCUGCUUCCCUGCAGUGCACCCCUGCCGCUGCUACUUUUGCUCUGAUGUAGCUACUGCUUUUGCUCUACCGAGAUUAGGGGGAACUAUACAGUAACAAUAUCAGGAGGCCAAUACUUAGUGAGCUGGGCAAUCUGACAAAUUUGGUCAGUUUGGAUCUUUAUUUAAACAGUUUCAUCGGUUCUAUUCCGCCAUUCUGGAGUCUUUGGGCAAGCUAUCGAAGUUAUGCUUUUUGUUACAUAUGGAUCUGUAAUCAAAUUGGUGCAUGAAAUAACAGAAUUCAGGCUGCAUUUAGGUUGCUCUAUUUCCUAAUAUGGACGCUGCAUUCUCUUUAGUGCUGCUGCUUCGGUACUGCUGUUGUUUAGCUACUAUGAUGCUAUUGUUUUGCUACUGGGCUGCUGCUAUAUAUUUUUUUUUCUUUUUUUUUUCAAGUGUAAUAUUACAGGUUAUUAAUAAAAAUUAUUAGUUUCAAGUAUAUUAUGUAUAUCUAUAACAGUCUGGUGCAAAUGUUUUACAUUUUUCGCAUCCCUCAA